rnacentral:rRNA from 1 species
GAGCCCAGCACCGAAUCCUUCACCAUCUCGGUGACAGGNNAUGUGGUGUUUAGGCCGUACCUUGUCCCGACACGUCUCUCCUCAAGUCCACUUGAUUGUGGCCCCAGGCCCAGAGAGGGUGUAAGGCCCGUGGAGGCGAGACGUUCGGUACCUGGUGCGUCCUUAGAGUCGGGUUGUUUGGGAAUGCAGCCCUAAGCGGGUGGUAAACUCCAUCCAAGGCUAAAUACCAGCACGAGUCCGAUAGCGAAGAAGUACCGCGAGGGAAGGUUGAAAAGAACUUUGAAGAGAGAGUUCAAGAGUACGUGAAACCGCUGAGAGGCAAACUGGUGGAACUGAAAUGGUCCCGAGGAAUUCAGCCGUUGGUCGUUGCACAGUCUUUGGUGAUUGAUCUAACGACGGCGCCAUUGAAUGACGUUUCGAUCAUCGGUGCACUUUCCUCGCCUGGGCCCGACCACGACCGGUGAGCUGAUCUGUCUGUCGUGCUUGGAAGAUAGCGCCGUCUUCGGAAGGCGUGUUAUAGACAGGCAUACGGAGCAGUCGGCGCACUGGAUGAUAGUGCCUGCCCAUCUGGGCUCAUAUGGUGGUUGUUUUGUUGGCGAGUUCUGAUGUCACUACUUCGGUAGAGUCGUUAGACUCUGUUGGCAUUAUGGCUGUCCUCUAUGAUUGGCACUGUUAAGUCUGUGGUUGUGAAGUAGGUAGUCCACCUGACCCGUCUUGAAACACGGACCAAGGAGUCUAACAUGUGCGCGAGUCAUUGGGUUCACGAAACCUAAAGGCGCAGUGAAGGUAAAGAUCUGUUUUGGCAGAUUGAGGUGGGAUGCCGGGUUACGCGCCCGGCCGCACUACCGGCCCGUUCUAUAUGUCUUUCAUAGGAGCGGAGCAAGAGCGUACACGUUGGGACCCGAAAGAUGGUGAACUAUGCUUGCGCAGGU